rnacentral:lncRNA from 1 species
GCCUCUAAAACCACUCUGUCUCUCAUACUCUCUUGAAUGCUCUUGAAACCCUAAUCCUCUUCUACCACUUUCAACCGCCAUCUCACCAGAAUCCAUGGCUUCUCAGGCCAUGGAUGGCCUACACUCACCUCCCUCUACUCUUGAACAAUUAUUGCUCGAUGUUUUAAGGUCUGACCUCGAUGGUGCCCGUUUAGAUCAUCUCCGAUUCAAGGUUCCAUGGCCUCUCCGGCCUUACUCCGGUGUAUUCAAAGCGUUUCGAGCCUGGUUCUAACUUGUCCGACUCACGAUCGGACCUUUUUCCAAGCCUUUCUCAUUCUUGGGUUCCUCUAAAACCCUAGCUAUUUGAGGUUUCUCUGAUUGUCUUCUUAAAUCUAGUCUAUAUCUGUGCUCUACUGGAUUUUGAAAACGUUUUCUCCAAUUUUAUUUUCAAAAAUUACUUCUCUUCGAUUUAGGGUUUCUGAAAGUCUCAAUUUUUUGACUCAUCCUUUUCUUUUCUUUGUAUGUAUUCGUCUAUACUAUGUUCAUAUGUUUUCUUUUACACCACUCAUGUGUUUAUGCUACGUUCGUAUGUUUUCUUUUCUACCAGGCAUGUGUUUUCUUCUGCUUUCUUUCUACUAUACAUGAUUCAUCUGUACUUUGUGUUUUACUGUGCUUCUACACCAGGCUCAAAUGUUCAUCUUGUUGUGUUUUUCUAUAUGAUAUACUAUUUUGGUAUUUUGAGCUCUUUUACUGUACGUGUUUCCUACUGAGUUCUUAAGUUCUUUAUUUUCCUUAUUCUGGACUUUGUUUGAGUUCUUUUAAACAUGCUUUUCUAUUGUUCUCUUAAGUGCCAUACUAUCUCUACUCUCUUCUGAACUUGUUUAAGUCCCAGGUUUCUUUUUUUACUUUCUUCUUAAACAUUUCUUUUCUACUCUCACUAUGUUUCAAAUCAAUCUGUUGCUUCAAACUUGCUAUUAUUAGUUUUCUCAUAUGCCUCCGAGAGAGACCCCUGAGCCUAUUUUAGUUAUUUGUCUUCUCUUCUCUGUAUUUGAUCCGAGGUGAAAACCCUAAGAUUGGGGGGGGGGGGUUGGCGAGUUUGAUCUUGUGUUUGGACUAGGGUUCUAUUUGGAUCCCUGGACUCUCUCAGACUCAUUUUGAGUCUAUGUACUGAACUUGAAAUCCUUUGUUUAUGAAUCAAAACUUUUCUAUGCCAGACUCUCUACUAAUUGGCAUGAUAGUUCUUCGGGUUUAACAUGUCCAUGUGCUUUAUAUAUGAGGAAUUUUUCCUUUUUCCAACUUGUGAUUGAUUCAGAAUUCCUUUUAAUAAGGUUCGAUUGAUUGUUAUUGAUUUCCUUUAAGUAAAAACCCUUCUUCACGUUUUCUAACUGGAUUAAUUCAUACCAAAACUCAGACUCAGUGAUUUACUGGUUGUUGAUUGAUUUUCUUUCCUUAUUUGCACAAACCGUGUGCUAUAAGACUUUUUCCUUUAAAUAAGUCCCUGCUAUUUACCAUUCUUAUGAUGCUUUAGGAAAAUGUUAGAUUUGUCUCCCUUAAUUAGUUUUACCUGUUUCAAAUCAGAAUCCCUUAAUUAAAGAGAGAAAUUGUGUAAUUGAUUUCCAAACUAUUUUCUUACCUAUUUCUGCUUGCUUUCUACAAUAUAAAAGGGCACGACCCUCCUGCACUUUGAGACAACCUUCAGUCCAAUAAUUUUACACACAUUACUUACUGAACACCUUCAAUUCCAAUACUCUCACACUUCACAUUCUCAAUUCUACACUCUACUCUCUUCUAGAAUCUUCUGACUAUUUGCUUGCAAUUUUGCUUUACAAGACUAAUGCUUUUCUUUUCUUCUUGUAAAUUGGUAUGUUCUAAUUUAGUUUCCUGCCUCAUCCCUAUGUGUUUGCUUUACAACUUCUACAGUUUUGUCUACUUUGCUGUCUAUGUUCAGUAUUAAAUAUGCAGUUCUCUUUACAUCUGUUGCUGUUGUGAAUCCCCUUAUCCCAUUCCCUUCUAUAUGUUUGAGUUAAACUUUAAAGCAUGGCGACAUCCAAAUUGUUUCUCAUGUUUGGAAUUGAUCCUUUAAUGUAUCCUAACUCACAAAUAAUGUGGCCAACAUGGCUGGUUGGGGUGUGCCAUCACCUCCAAUUACUGGGUAUGACCACUAACCUGUAUUGGCUCUCCCCAAAAUCCCCUAUAUUGCACUCACACCCAUUCCUAGCUUCUAAGUUCUCCCCCCUCCUAUGAGCCAUGCUUUGGGACUUGAUUUCCCUCUGAACUUGGAGACUUGAUGGUUGGCUCUUCCACACUACACUAUGUCUCAAAUUUGUAAUGAAUUUGGGUGUAAGCACUGCCCGGAGCUCAUGAGUCUAUUGGGAACUCUAACACACCUAAAAAAUGAGAAAGACUUUGGAUUUGGAUCUUUGGAGUUGGUCUAAUUCAUGCUUUAGGCAGGA